rnacentral:rRNA from 1 species
UACGUAGGGCGCGAGCGUUGUCCGGAAUUAUUGGGCGUAAAGAGCUCGUAGGCGGCUUGUCACGUCGAUUGUGAAAGCCCGAGGCUUAACCUCGGGUCUGCAGUCGAUACGGGCUGGCUAGAGUGUGGUAGGGGAGAUCGGAAUUCCUGGUGUAGCGGUGAAAUGCGCAGAUAUCAGGAGGAACACCGGUGGCGAAGGCGGAUCUCUGGGCCAUUACUGACGCUGAGGAGCGAAAGCGUGGGGAGCGAACAGG